UUACUCAAAAUUUAGUAAACCUUCAUAUAGAUGUCACUAAGCAUAAAAAGGACCAGUCGAUUCACCUGACUGCGUUACCAUACAUAUUUACCAUUGUUUCAAAGAGGUAUAUCACAAUCAGCCAAAAGGAAAGUCUAGAACAAACCAUAGAAAGGAGCUCUUGCUGACUCGGAUUUUUUUUUUUCUGUAACAGGAAGUGCAAGUAGAACCUGGCUAAUCGGUUUCGUAUUCAUCCAAGAAUCGGGAAAUACCUUAAUCUUUGUAAUAUUAGUCGUUCAAAUUUUUAUCUUAAAAACGCAUCUCCACUUCAAAGACGAACGCAGAUGACUAAGUGAUAUAAAUUUACUUUAUGGAACCAAAGCUAGUUCUUUUAUGGAAUGCCGUACGUCACAAAUUACGUCAUCAUGCGAAUUAGAAAGCAGAAAGAAAGAAAGAGCAGAAUGUUUUCAACUCCAUAUUUUCUGUAUAAUUUGCUGGUUAUAAGCAGAUCUAUGCACGGCACUCCAUUAUACCACACUGAUAGCUUCUCAAAGAUUAUAAAUAUGAUACAUGUAAGCAGUUUCUCUGUAUAGGCACAGUUACUUGUCAUCACAAGGACCAGAUUUCAAGUACCAGAGUAGUCCUAACUCCUAAAUUUUCCCAAUUUGUCAAAAGUACAUCUAGUGACACAAGAGAAGAAUGUGGAGUAAAUGCCAAUAAAGGCUCGACUGCAGGGGUAUACCUGACUUCUCGGCAAUUUCUGGUUAUCACCAUCCGAAUGACCGAUUCAGAGGAGAAGACCAACUUCAAGGUGACUCUUAUGCAUUGAGAUCUUUCGCUGAUGGACUCAAAUUGUUCAGGAAAAAAUCCAGCUACCACAGCCACAGAUUUCUGGCGUGUGUUCAGAAGGAACAUAGAUGCAAUGGUAGGUAAAUUUUGCUUUUAAAUUCCCUUGCAACAGAUACAAAUUGCAUCAUCAGAUAUAGGUCAAUGAAACAGAGACAAUUAUCUCAAGGUUUAAUUGAUACCUGACACAAGAUUGUUUUUAAGUUUAAAGUCAUUUGCAGGAAAAUUGUUUUCAUUU